CACCUCGAGCAUUACUAGUAUUCGAGGCACUGCCUGCCCAGUGACCAAGUGUUAAAUGGCCGCGGUACUCUGACCGUGCAAAGGUAGCAUAAUCAUUUGUUCCUUAAUUGGGGACUUGUAUGAAUGGCCACACGAGGGUUUGACUGUCUCUUUCUUCUACUCAAUGAAAUUGACCUUCUCGUGAAGAGGCGAGAAUAAACAUAUAAGACGAGAAGACCCUAUGGAGCUUAAAUUAACUAAUUUAAUUGCUACCCUAUAAGUCUACAAGAUACAACUAAGUAGCAUGAUAAAUUAACAAUUUUGGUUGGGGUGACCUCGGAGAAGAAAAAAACCUCCAAAUGAUAUUCUAAUUCAGACUCUACAAGUCAAAAUUUACUAAUCACUUACUGACCAAAUAUAUAUAUUGACCCAAUAGUUGAUCAACGGAACAAGUUACCCUAGGGAUAACAGCGCAAUCCUACUCUAGAGUCCCUAUCGACAGCAGGGUUUACGACCUCGAUGUUGGAUCAGGACAUCCUAAUGGUGCAGCCGCUAUUAAGAGUUCGUUUGUUCGACGAUUAAAGUCCU
rnacentral:rRNA from 1 species